CCUACGGGAGGCUGCAGUGGGGAAUAUUGGACAAUGGGGGCAACCCUGAUCCAGCCAUGCCGCGGGUGUGAAGAAGGCCCUCGGGUUGUAAAGCACUUUCAGUGAGGAAGAACGCCUGGUGGUUAAUACCCAUCAGGAAAGACAUCACUCACAGAAGAAGCACCGGCUAACUCCGUGCCAGCAGCCGCGGUAAUACGGAGGGUGCGAGCGUUAAUCGGAAUUACUGGGCGUAAAGCGCGCGUAGGUGGCGUGAUAAGCCGGUUGUGAAAGCCCCGGGCUCAACCUGGGAACGGCAUCCGGAACUGUCAAGCUAGAGUGCAGGAGAGGAAGGUAGAAUUCCCGGUGUAGCGGUGAAAUGCGUAGAGAUCGGGAGGAAUACCAGUGGCGAAGGCGGCCUUCUGGACUGACACUGACACUGAGGUGCGAAAGCGUGGGUAGCAAACAGGAUUAGAUACCCGUGUAGUC
rnacentral:rRNA from 1 species